rnacentral:lncRNA from 1 species
UGAGAACUUCAAUUUAAAAAUGCAUCAUUCGUCUGCAUUGACAUUCCUUUCAGCUGAUGAAAUUCCAGGAGUUUUAAUGAAUUAAAGUUGCAUUUGCCUGAGAAAGCAAGCAGUUACUGACUGGUUUGGAAAUAAUUACAUGCACAGUAGGAUAAGAAGACACUUACACUAAGAGCAGAAGCUUACUGCUUGGAGCCCCCAAUGAAAAAAAGAAAGCUGUGAUUGGAUGUCAUUACUGCCAAUCAACUGGAGGAUAACAUAGGCUGUGACUUUUCAAGGGAGAGAUAAAAGGACCAGGUCACGACUUAGGUUGAAGAUGGCCUCCUUCUAAAGUGAACUCAGUUCCUAGGUUCAAAAGAAGAGCUCAAUCUACCCAGAAUCCCUGAACCUCAAGUCCAGAUGCUUGGGAGAAAGAACAGAUUACCUGGGGCUGUGGGAGUCCAAAGUGAACACGGGGCUGCUUAGAGGUCUGAAUUGGCAUGAGCUGGGGCAGGAAAGGGAUGAUCUCAAAGAAGUG